ACACCCUCAAGCUCUGCUUGGUGUUGGGCGUCUGUCCCGCCUUCGUGCGCGGACUCGCCUCAAAGUCAUUGGCAGCGGUCUCGCCGGCUUCUCGCGCAGCACAUUUGCGCUUCUUGGAGCCCCGGCGGAUCUGCGUCCAGCAAGCCAUUUCACG
rnacentral:misc_RNA from 1 species